rnacentral:lncRNA from 1 species
GCCAGUGGCUUUCCCGCGGAGGGCGGCCCCGCGGGGCCUCCCGACCCGCUCUGGGCUAAGCGAGCGGCCAGGUUUCGUGCCCUCAGGUGGCUGUGGUUAACAAGUCGCGAACUUGUGGGAAUUCGUCGACCAGGGUUUACCUGGUGUGCUCGACAUUUUAAAUCCUUGCUCUCUAGUCUUUGAGGUCACCACUAACGCGGGGCGGGCCGGGCUCCACCGCACGGCGCUGUCCUUCCCGGAGGGCCCGCGAGGGUGGGCCGCUCCGGGGGUUGCGAGAUGGAGGGUCGCGGGCGUGCGUUCUUCCGACCUUCCGUCAGACAUUUUGUGCCCGCCACGUGCUAGCCUAUCGCCCAGCUCGCGCCUCAAAACUUGAGAGGCUUUCUUGGCUUGAGAAGAGACAGCUGGUAUAAUUGGAGAGCAUCGCCCCACCAGUUAGACUGUCAGCAUCUCCCUACUGUAUACAUGCUUGAUUAAUGCUAUUAAAUAUGGUAGGUUCACUAAAAGAAUGCCUUUGUUGGUGCAGUUAAAAUGGUAAUUUGCAUCACUGUGAGUAGAUCAAAGUGAGCUAAAAAGUUGCAAGUUUCAGGAUGAUCAUAGAGCAAGAAUGGCAAUAUGGAUUAUUGUGGUGGAUCUGCAUGUAGACUAUUAAAUAAUCAAUAUUCAAAAGUUCAAAUCAUCAGAUGUGAUACUGUUUUUGAGAUGGAGUCUCACUCUGUUGCCCAGGCUGGAGUGCAAUGGCGAAAUCUCGGCUAACUG